AUUGAACGCUGGCGGCAGGCCUAACACAUGCAAGUCGAGCGGCGCGGCGGACGGGUGCGUAAUGCCUAGGAAUCUGGCUGGUCGUGGGGGAUAACGUCCGUAAACGGGCGCUAAUACCGCAUACUAGCAGAUGAGCCUCGUUCGGAUUGGCUUGUUGGUGGGGUAAAGGCCUACCAAGGCGACGAUCCGUAACUGGUCUGAGAGGAUGAUCAGUCACACUGGAACUGAGACACGGUCCAGACUCCUACGGGAGGCAGCAGUGGGGAAUAUUGGACAAUGGGCGAAAGCCUGAUCCAGCCAUGCCGCGUGUGUGAAGAAGGUCUUCGGAUUGUAAAGCACUUUAAGUUGGGAGGCGUUACCAACAGAAUAAGCACCGGCUAACUUCGUGCCAGCAGCCGCGGUAAUUC
rnacentral:rRNA from 1 species